rnacentral:snRNA from 1 species
GUACUCUCUUCAGCAACACAUAUACUAAAACUGGAAAGAUACAGAGAAUAUUAGCAUGGCCUCUGUGCAAGGAUGAAAUGCAAAUUUGUGAAGCUUUCCAUAUUUUU